rnacentral:rRNA from 1 species
ACGGGGUGCAGCAGGCGCGAAAACUUCACAAUGUGGGAAACCACGAUGAGGGGAGUCCAAGUGCAUGCGCAUAGCGUAUGCUGUUCGAUUGCCUAAAAAGCAGCCGAAGGAAGGGCUGGGUAAGACAGGUGCCAGCCGCCGCGGUAAUACCUGCAGCCCGAGUGGUGGUCGAUAUUAUUGAGCCUAAAGCGUCCGUAGCCGGUCUAGUAAACCUUUGGGUAAAUCGGGCAGCUUAACUGUCCGAAUUCCGAGGGGACUGCUAGACUUGGGACCGGGAGAGGUCAGAGGUACUCCGGGGGUAGGGGCUAAAUGCAUGUCAGUGAAUAUCUUGAAUAUAGCUGGCAUGAUUAGCAUUCCUGUAAUCCUCGGGGGACCACCAGUGGCGAAGGCGUCCGACUAGAACGGAUCCGACGGUAAGGGACGAAACCCUGGGUCGCAAACCGGAUUAGAUACCCGGGUAGUCCAGGGCGUAAACGCUGCAGGCUUGGUGUUGGGGAUCCUACGGGGAUGCCCAGUGCCGGAGUGAAGAUGUUAAGCCUGCCGCUUGGGGAGUACGUCCGCAAGGAUGAAACUUAAAGGAAUUGGCGGGAGAGCACUGCAACGGGAGGAGCGUGCGGUUCAAUUGGAUUCAACGCCGGAAAACUCACCGGGAGCGACGAUUACAUGAAGGUCAGGCUGAUGACCUUACCUGAUUUUUCGAGAGGUGGUGCAUG